UUUAAUUCGAUGCAACGCGAAGAACCUUACCUGGUCUUGACAUCCACGGAAGUUUUCAGAGAUGAGAAUGUGCCUUCGGGAACCGUGAGACAGGUGCUGCAUGGCUGUCGUCAGCUCGUGUUGUGAAAUGUUGGGUUAAGUCCCGCAACGAGCGCAACCCUUAUCCUUUGUUGCCAGCGGUCCGGCCGGGAACUCAAAGGAGACUGCCAGUGAUAAACUGGAGGAAGGUGGGGAUGACGUCAAGUCAUCAUGGCCCUUACGACCAGGGCUACACACGUGCUACAAUGGCGCAUACAAAGAGAAGCGACCUCGCGAGAGCAAGCGGACCUCAUAAAGUGCGUCGUAGUCCGGAUUGGAGUCUGCAACUCGACUCCAUGAAGUCGGAAUCGCUAGUAAUCGUGGAUCAGAAUGCCACGGUGAAUACGUUCCCGGGCCUUGUACACACCGCCCGUCACACCAUGGGAGUGGGUUGCAAAAGAAGUAGGUAGCUUAACCUUCGGGAGGGCGCUUACCACUUUGUGAUUCAUGACUGGGGUGAAGUCGUAACAAGGUAACCGUAGGGGAACCUGCGGUUGGAUCAC
rnacentral:rRNA from 1 species